rnacentral:misc_RNA from 1 species
AUGAGAAUGAAUUCCUGGAGUCAAAGAAUUCAGGAAUGCUUGUUUUCUAUACUUAGAAUUGGCGUGAUUUGCUCAUCAGAAAUACCUCAAGAACGAAUGGGAAUCAAUGAGGUGGUAGUUGAAUUGCAUUCAAUUAGAAGCAAACUUGUUAGAGCUAGAAUUGAUAGAAAUUUACUAUAAAUAAUAUCCCCAGGUUUCUACGAAGAAAGAAAUAAUAC